rnacentral:rRNA from 1 species
UACGGGGGGGGUAAGCGUUGUUCGGAAUUACUGGGCGUAAAGGGCUCGUAGGCGGCCAACUAAGUCGGACGUGAAAUCCCUCAGCUUAACUGGGGAACUGCGUCCGAUACUGGAUGGCUUGGAUUUGGGAGAGGGAUGCGGAAUUCCAGGUGUAGCGGUGAAAUGCGUAGAUAUCUGGAGGAACACCGGUGGCGAAGGCGGCGACCUGGGUGGAUACUGACGCUGAGGCGCGAAAGCGUGGGGAGCAAACAGG